CAAUAGCGUAUAUUAAAGUUGUUGCGGUUAAAAAGCUCGUAGUUGGAUUUCUGCCGAGGACGACCGGUCCGCCCUCCGGGUGAGCAUCUGGCUCGGCCUAGGCAUCUUCUUGGGGAGCGUAUCUGCACUUCAUUGUGUGGUGCGGUAUCCAAGACUUUUACUUUGAGGAAAUUAGAGUGUUUCAAGCAGGCCCACGCCUUGAAUACAUUAGCAUGGAAUAAUAAGGUAGGACCUCGGUUCUAUUUUGUUGGUUUCUAGAAUUGAGGUAAUGAUUAAUAGGGAUAGUUGGGGGCAUUCGUAUUUAACUGUCAGAGGUGAAAUUCUUGGAUUUGUUAAAGACGGACUACUGCGAAANCANNNGCCAAGGAUGUUUUCAUNGA
rnacentral:rRNA from 1 species